UUUCCUCACCUGAAGCUUCUUUCUCUGUGAUAACUCCAGCUUAUGUGAAGUUGACACAAAACCAGCCAGUACAGCAUGUGGAGGUAAGAGGUUGGUGUCCAGAGUCUUCCUCAGUCCCUCUCCACCUUAUAUUUUGAGACAGAGUCUCUCCUGAACCUACACCUCACUGAUUCAGCUAGACUGGCUAGCCACUGAGCUCCAGGCAUCCUCCUGUCUGUCCCCAGAGCUGGGGUUAGCAAUGUCCUUGUGCUCCCAGCUUUUUCACAGCUGGGGAUCUGAGCUCAGGUCCUCCUGCUUCUGUGGCAAGCACUUUGCUCAGUGAGCCCUUUCCCCAAGCAACAAUGUGUACAUGAAAUUCACACAGACUUUCUCAGCAUCACAUUGUGACUGUCAUCACUAGGGUUUGGUGACAGUUUGCCACAAGGGUUGAGAGCACAGAUGGUGGACCUGAGCUCACUCUGUAUGUACUCAUUGCCUGAGCUAAGAACUCAAAACCUGUCAGCUCUCAGGUAGGGAUUUGGCCACGUGUCCAUGCUUACCCACUCCAUUUCAUUUCUUUCCCCCACUUUCAGUGCUGGAGAUUGAACCCAGGGCACCCUAAAUGUCUGACAAAUCCUUUACCAUUAAACUAAACUAUACCCUUCCUCACCUACAUCCGAUUUUCUUAGUAGGACUAGAAAAAAGGAAAUAUACCCAUUUUAGUUGAAGAAACAGGUGUGUAUAGGAAAAGUCCUGUUCACCCAAAUAUAGUUCGUGUCUCACUCAGUGCUGGCUAGAUAAGUGUCUGAAGGUCCGUGGUUGAAGGCUGGGUUCCCCAGGCUGGCAUUAUUGGGAUGUGGCAGAAGCUGUAAGAGAUACAUCUUAUGGGAUGUCUUUGGGUCAGAGUUCCUUGAAAGGGACUGUGGGAUUCUGGACCCUUUGCUCUUUGUUCUUUCCCAGCCCUGAGGUGAGCUGCUGCCAUGACCACACGCUCUUAUUAUAAAGUGCUGCCUUGCCACAGGUCCAAAAGCCAUGGAGCCAACUGGUCAUGAACGGAAAUCUUCAAAACUGUGAGACAGAGUACACGUUUCCUCUGUCUAAGUUGAUUAUCUAAGUUCGGGUGAUUGUGCCUUUGUGCCUGCCAGGCGAACACUCAGCCCCUGAGCUACAUCCUAGCAUACUCCAGCUGUUGAACGCUGAUCUUUCCCCAGGCUUUAGCUAAGUGGUACAGUCUCUGUGAUGCUGUGGGUGGCAGUGAAUCCUAGCUCCCAGUCAGUGACUGUGAUAAAGAAGGUGAACAACUGACUCUAUGGUGUGCUUUGCUGGUAAACUAUGCUGUUCAGCAGGUUGGGUGAAUUAAACAUUUUGCUUGCUUGCUUUUUGAGAUAAUCUUCACUCUGUAGCCCACCCUAACCUUGAGCCCAGGAAUGCAAUCUUACUGCCUCAGCAUCCCAAGUUCUGGGAUUACUGUGUGAGCCAGCACUCCCCCUCUCCUGUGUUAUUUUCUAGAGGUGCUGGAAAGCAAACUGAGGGUUCUGCACAUGCCAGGCUGUGCCCUUCCACUGAGCCACAUCCCAACCUUUUGUUAUUAUUAUUUAUCAUCCUAAAACAGGAUCUUGCUGUUACUCAGGGUGGCAUCUAACCUGGAGUCCCCUCUCUCAUGCCCAGAUGUUUCUCUUAAUGCAUUUUAAUGCCAAAGCUCAAUUGCAGUAAUUGUAGAGUAACGGGUUUCAUCGAGAUGUCCCACACGUGCCUAUGCUUUACUUCAGUUUUACCCUUCUCUCUCUCCCACUCUACUCCCUCACUCAAGGUCGCUUCCCCUCCCCUCAUGGUACAAUGUCAUCUUGAAUGCAUUUGAGGGACGUAGCCCCACUGUAAAUGACACAGACACAUUCCUGUUUAGAUUUGAGUACCUAAGCAACCGAGGUUUUUCCUGAUGGAAUUUACACUGUGACUGUACUGCAGGGCACAGAAGCACAUGCAUCUAAUAACAUGAAUUCAGUAGAGAAUCUCUUAUGAAAUGGGUUUGUACAUUUCAGUUUUUUUCCCCUGAAAUCAGAUCUUACACUGUAGGUCUGGGUGUCUGAGAACUCACACAAUAGCUCAAAUUGGCUCCAAUCCCCUGUUUCUGUCUUCCUGAUUGCUGGACUUAUAGGCAUGUGUCACUAUAUCCAGAUUUAUAUAUUUAAAUUGUUUAUAGAGCGCACCAAAGUGUCCUCCCAAAACUUAGUCAUCUCUUCACAGAGAAGAAUGCCCAUUCCUAUCUCUACCAAUACUGGUCACUUUACUUGCCAGCGGCAUCAGCUAACAUUUUGUUUUUAAAGCCUGUUUUUUCUGAUUGUUUGUAAAAUAUACUUCCAUUUUCCUA